GACGUAGGGUCCGAGCGUUGUCCGGAGUUACUGGGCGUAAAGGGUGUGUAGGCGGUUGUUUAAGUUUGGUGUGAAAUCUCCCGGCUCAACUGGGAGGGUGCGCCGAAUACUGAAUGACUCGAGUGUGGGAGAGGUGAGUGGAAUUCCUGGUGUAGCGGUGAAAUGCGUAGAUAUCAGGAGGAACACCGGUGGCGAAGGCGGGUCUCUGGGCCGAUACUGACGCUGAGGAGCGAAAGCGUGGGGAGCGAACAGG
rnacentral:rRNA from 1 species